rnacentral:rRNA from 1 species
CCUACGGGAGGCAGCAGUUGGGAAUCUUCCGCAAUGGGCGAAAGCCUGACGGAGCGACACUGCGUGAGGGAAGAAGGCCUUCGGGUUGUAAACCUCUGUCGAGAGGGGAAGACCUCAGACGGUACCCUCAGAGGAAGCCCCGGCUAACUACGUGCCAGCAGCCGCGGUAAU